rnacentral:rRNA from 1 species
GCCCUGAAUCGUGAUUGAACCCUGUUUACCCCAUGGUAGUUCGUGCCAGGCGGUCCACUACGUUCAUUAUUUCAUCUGCCGUCUCUGAACUUCUCCCAUGGAGUCAUCUUCGAGUCGUUCUGGAUUCGAUGUUGAUAUCGCUAGGAGACCUUCCGGAAGCAUAUUCCCGAGAGUGUUGUUUAACACACAUCGGCUACUUCCCCGCGCAGUUUGCACUUUUCGCUCUAACUUGUGAUGAUUUGUUGGAGUUUAGCAGAGCUGGUAGUCUGCGCGUGAAAGACAGGGUAUCUCCUGUCGACCUCACAUGGAGCUCGUGUAGUUGUUUUGUUAAAACUUCUCUAAAACUUCCAGAAUUAUACGUAUCAACACUGUUGGGUCAGUUAGAAGAAAGGAAUGAAGUACAACUUCUAACGGUGGAUCUCUUGGCUCGUGCAUCGAUGAAGAACGCAGCCAGCUGCGAUAACUAAUGUGAAUUGCAGAACUCAGCGAAUCAUCGAAUCUUUGAACGCAAAUGGCGCCCCCUGGUUCUCCAGGGAGCAUGUCUGUCUGAGCGUCAUGUAACACUAGUACACGCACACUCUUCAAGUGUGUGCGGCGUUGAGGCUUCAUGGCUUGCUCUUAGUGAGCGAGCUGCGUGCCUUGAAGUGCAGAAUAUGACUGGGACCCUUGCACUUGCACACGAGUGUGAUAGGGGGCAGCAAAAAGAGUAAUCUUGUCUGCUUGCCUGUCUCCACGUGCGAGUGCUCGUCGUCUCGUUGGCUUAUGCCAAACACUGACUUUGACCUCAGAUCAGGCAAGACUACCCGCUGAAUUUAAGCAUAUCA